GGCAAAAAUGGUACUUUCUCAUGGUAGACCCUUAACUGCUGAAUGGAAGCUUAUUUAGACCAAAACAUAUUUCAGAGAAAGAAUGCUUUAUACUCAUCAGCAAGUUUUCUAGUCUGACUGGAGUUAUUUCAACGAGAGCCCAUUACAAUUCAGACUUACUUCUUCAUCUCCUUUCCUUACCAUGAAGUAUGCCAGUCUCUAAUGUUCCACUUAGUUAGAUAGGUCAAUUUUGCCACUUUCCUACCCUACUGCAAACCAAUCCAAUUGAACUAUCCUUGUUAAAAAUGCUCAUUCCCACUGCCACCAUCCUAAAAUAUAACAAAUGGUACCCAGUUAUAAUAAUUCUUACCUGGUUCCCAAAUAGACUCCCCCUUCUCUUCACUGUCCAAGUGGAAGCCAGACUUGUGAUGCUUAGCAACCAUGUCAUUCAACGGCCAACAAUUGCUAUUGUUCUCAGUGUCCUCCAAAGGCCCUUUGUCUGUGGAUGGACUGCCAUCCCAGCACACAUACCUCUGUAAAACCAGGAGAAGAAAACAGCAUAACAACCCAAGAGUGGAAACACCAUGACUUUGAAAACAACUGUAAGGGCAUUUGUACAUGAACCUUCUGAAGUGGAAACCUAAGGAUUCUUCGUCAGUUGUGUUGGAUGGUAUUUUGCUAAGGCAAACACGUGAAGGAAUGUUUCGUUGACACAGGCACAAGUGAAAGGAUGUUCUGCUAAAGCAAGCACGUGAAAGGACACAUGAUGAUGGAUGAAGGAUUCUUCGCUGACACCCAUGUGUUGGUCCACCUACAUUUUGUAGUUGAGCUCCAUUUGUUGGGACUCCAUAGAGUGAAAUACACCAAGAAACUUAUAGUGGUGUGCUGCAGUUUCUUGCUGUUUCAGCGGACUGGGACUGAUUGGCAGAAUGAUGUCAGCUAAGACAGACAUUCAUGCUGAGAUGAGAUACAUGCUGAGGCACAACCCAUGGAGGACACUUGAUGUUUGGAGGAAGUCUAAAAAGGACUCAAUGGACAGUGAUGGAGACUGAGCUAGCCUUGCUCAUAGAGCUAGUUGUGCAAUGCUUGUUGGUCUUAAGUCUUCACUGAUCUUCCACUUCACUGUCAGAGACACAGCUAAGAACAUCUCCUGGCAUUCCUGCUGGUCCCUCCUGCUGCUGACUCCAGCCAAGGCUGAGGCCUGGCUGGCUCUGCUAGGUCAUGCCACCUCUGCUGAUUCAUGUUUGCUAUCCCAACUCUACCAAACUGGACUUCUGGUGUAUCCGUGAAAUGUUUGCAAAUGGAUCAAGCUGCCACUGCAGACUUGUGAACUGAACUGCUGAUUUCCAGACAGCACAGAUGAGAGUUGCUCCAAAGAACCAUUUUUAAACAGGUCCA